GGGGAAUAUUGCACAAUGGGCGCAAGCCUGAUGCAGCCAUGCCGCGUGUAUGAAGAAGGCCUUCGGGUUGUAAAGUACUUUCAGCGGGGAGGAAGGCGAUACGGUUAAUAACCGUGUCGAUUGACGUUACCCGCAGAAGAAGCACCGGCUAACUCCGUGCCAGCAGCCGCGGUAAUACGGAGGGUGCAAGCGUUAAUCGGAAUUACUGGGCGUAAAGCGCACGCAGGCGGUCUGUCAAGUCAGAUGUGAAAUCCCCGGGCUUAACCUGGGAACUGCAUUUGAAACUGGCAGGCUUGAGUCUCGUAGAGGGGGGUAGAAUUCCAGGUGUAGCGGUGAAAUGCGUAGAGAUCUGGAGGAAUACCGGUGGCGAAGGCGGCCCCCUGGACGAAGACUGACGCUCAGGUGCGAAAGCGUGGGGAGCAAACAGGAUUAGAUACCCUAGUAGUCCACGCUGUAAACGAUGUCGACUUGGAGGUUGUGCCCUUGAGGCGUGGCUUCCGGAGCUAACGCGUUAAGUCGACCGCCUGGGGAGUACGGCCGCAAGGUUAAAACUCAAAUGAAUUGACGGGGGCCCGCACAAGCGGUGGAGCAUGUGGUUUAAUUCGAUGCAACGCGAAGAACCUUACCUGGCCUUGACAUCCACAGAACUUAGCAGAGAUGCUUUGGUGCCUUCGGGAACUGUGAGACAGGUGCUGCAUGGCUGUCGUCAGCUCGUGUUGUGAAAUGUUGGGUUAAGUC
rnacentral:rRNA from 1 species